rnacentral:tmRNA from 1 species
GGGGGUGUAAAGGUUUCGACGGGGAUUUUGAAAGCAGAGAUAGCCAUCCGUAGCGGAUUCUACGUUAAAAGGCCACCGUUUAUAAAUAUAAACGACAACGAUAAUUUAGCAUUUGCGGCUUAAUUAAAGCCGUUGUCAGCCUCGGGUCGCCUAUCGCUUGAGAAUCUGGCAUCGACAGAUGGGGAACUUUUUCGCUUAAGCUUUGCGGCGCAAAAAGACUUUAUGAAGCUACCCGAAGCUUGCGCUUGUCGGCUAUUGCAAGUCUAGGGGAAUCCACUAAAUAACCGACUAUGAUGGAAGAAGUCUUUGCCGAAGGGUUUUCGGACGCGGGUUCAAUUCCCGCCACCUCCAGUU